UUCUAGUAUUAUAGCAUCCAUGUUCCAUGUGCAGAUGAAAAGAAUGUGUAUUCUGCAGCUGUGGAGUGAAAUAUCUGUACUCAUCUGUUAUGGCCAUUUGGUCUGUAGUAGUUUCUCUCUGAUGCUUGUUAAUUUUUUUCCAGGUGAUCUCUUCCUGUCGAAGAAAGAUUCAAUGUGUUUGAAUUUCAUUGAAGAGGACUUUCACAUGCUGGUUGAACUUAUCACAAGCAUUGCCUCGCAGAAAAGCUGGGUCCACAGAGGUCCAGAAUGAAUCUCUACUCUCCCUGACUCCAGGAGACAAAAAGAAGAACAUGGAUCUCCAUACAGAAAUGACCUCCAUGAGGUCUGACACUCUCCACCAUUGCAGCAGAGGAGAAAACCUGAGGGAGAAUUCCAGAGGAGCAGUAAUAGCAGUGCUUUAUCUGAAGUCUACAAAACCCAACAAUGCAUUCUUGGAAGACAAGAGCCAUGCUCGGCACAGGGAAGCUGGAGGUCAAAGCUCAUGGGGUGGCCCUCCUUCCAUCAGCUGUGGUGCUGAGACAACCUCUUAGUCUCUAUGGACCCCAGGUUCCUCAUCAGUGAGAUCCAGAACUGAGUCCACAUCCUGAGAACCCAGAACUGAAGGUGCAGAUGAAGGAAGA